rnacentral:rRNA from 1 species
CAAUAGCGUAUAUUAAAGUUGUUGCGGUUAAAAAGCUCGUAGUUGGAUUUCUGCUGAGAACGACCGGUCCGCCCUCUGGGUGUGUAUCUGGCUCUUUCUUGGCAUCUUCUUGGUGAACGUUGCUGCACUUGACUGUGUGGAGCGCUACCCAGGACUUUUACUUUGAGGAAAUUAGAGUGUUUCAAGCAGGCAUACGCCUUGAAUACAUUAGCAUGGAAUAAUAAGAUAGGACCUCGGUUCUAUUUUGUUGGUUUCUAGAGCUGAGGUAAUGAUUAAUAGGGAUAGUUGGGGGCAUUCGUAUUUAACUGUCAGAGGCGAAAUUCUUGGAUUUGUUAAAGACGGACUACUGCGAAAGCAUUUGCCAAGGAUGUUUUCAUUGA